GAGUUUGAUCGUGGCUCAGGAUGAACGCUGGCGGCGUGCCUAAUACAUGCAAGUCGAGCGAACGGACGAGAAGCUUGCUUCUCUGAUGUUAGCGGCGGACGGGUGAGUAACACGUGGAUAACCUACCUAUAAGACUGGGAUAACUUCGGGAAACCGGAGCUAAUACCGGAUGAUAUUUUGAACCGCAUGGUUCAAAAGUGAAAGACGGUCUUGCUGUCACUUAUAGAUGGAUCCGCGCUGCAUUAGCUAGUUGGUAAGGUAACGGCUUACCAAGGCAACGAUGCAUAGCCGACCUGAGAGGGUGAUCGGCCACACUGGAACUGAGACACGGUCCAGACUCCUACGGGAGGCAGCAGUAGGGAAUCUUCCGCAAUGGGCGAAAGCCUGACGGAGCAACGCCGCGUGAGUGAUGAAGGUCUUCGGAUCGUAAAACUCUGUUAUUAGGGAAGAACAUAUGUGUAAGUAACUGUGCACAUCUUGACGGUACCUAAUCAGAAAG
rnacentral:rRNA from 1 species